CAACUCUGCUCUGCUUUCCCUUCCCCUGGGCAUGGUGAGCCUUCCCCCGGGGCCAUGCUGGAACUGCUGCCAUUCCCUGCUGUCUCCUCUAUCCUUCCUAUAGUCUUCAGGCUCCUUAGCAAGAGCUGCAGUGGAUGAUACCAAGUGAGGCCCUAAGAGGUGGAGGACCAGAGGAUGGGAUUCCCCUUGUGUUGCUGUGGAAACCGUUGGAAGGGAAGCAGCAAAACCAGGGCUGGCAGGGAGUGCUGGGCGGUGUGCGGGGCGGCUGCAGAGGCAGGGCUGUGCUGACAUCACGUGGGGAGGCGGCGUGGGGAAGGGAGAGCAAGGGAGGCUGCAGAGGGAAGAGAGCUGCAUCCGACUGGGCUCCAGGCAAGCAGGUCCAGACCCAUGGCCCAUCUGGCUGAGACCUGGGGAGACAGGAUGCUGAGCCACAUGGGCAUCGAACCUCCAAGUUGUUCCCCCUCAGAUCUCCCCACCUCCCACCUCUUUUAUCAGCUGCUGACAAGACUUGCCAUGUGCGUAGGUGGCUCCCAAGCUUACAAGAUGAUUCCCCACACCCCCCACCCCUACUCAAAAGUGUUCAGGAUUUUGGAGGGGGGGGGGGGGGGGGGGGGGGGGGGGGGGGGGCAGAGCAUUCCUCCGUCUGCAAGAGAUGUGCGAUGCUUUCACAGUGCUCCAUGUGGUAACUCCCUCCCGGGAUUUCACAUGACAGCAUCUUCCAUGGAAAGUCACAGCAGGGAGUGGAAGAUUGUCAUGCAGUAUGUGUGGGUGUUACGAGAGAGCAGAGUAGGAUGAGAAGAUGGAGGGGAGAGGGGGUGUAACCAUAGAGCAAACCAGAAUCCUAUUGAAAGAGCCUUGAAUUCCCGAGCCCAAGGCUCCCCUCUCCUGUCUUUUGCUCUUCAUUUAAAAGAAUGCCAGUCCUUGUCAGUCCUGCAGAGAAAAGGGGAAUCAAACAGAAACAUCUCUUUGUUCCCUGAACACGUCUCAUAGGACCACAAGAGGCAAACAGAACAUGAACUAACGAGAUCAGUCCAAAGAGUGUGUGCAGUUACACACUGGGGAGAGCCCUCCCCAGCCACUGUUGUCUUCCCUGGAGAGAAAUAAACGUCCACUAAUGGCAUCUUCAUCUGAGAAAUGAUCAGAGUGCACUGUCAUUACAAACCAGUGGUUCCCCAGGGCUGCAGAGAAAAUGACCCCAG
rnacentral:lncRNA from 1 species